ACGCGGCCCUCUUGGCAACCCCUUUCCCUUAGUGGCGCUGGCACCUCUCUGCCCUGCCUGUAUGCUUUUUAGUGCUACACUGUAGGCCAUGAAUACUGCGUCUCCUUCCUGACCCAUUGGGCAGUGACCUUCAGUAGCUGAGUUGUGCUCUUGUGGUUGACAGAUAUGCCUGCUUCUGUGGCUGAUGGGACGCUGCUGUGUUGCGUGACACCAUACAACAAAAUGUGAAUAUGCUGCCUUAUUCCGUGCAUUUCUCUCUUUCCCUCUCAGCUGUUGCUGGCUCAAGUCCCUGGCUCUUCCUUCCAGCCCUAGCCUUUUUGGUUACAACACACAUUUGUCAGUGGCAUCCUUGGCCACCCUGUGGCUGUGCAGCUGCUUCCCAACUGGCAUCUUCGCUCCUCAGACUGUUUCUAGGCUGGCUUGAUUCCCCAGCCCCGUGGAGAUUGCUCUUCCUGGCUCUGCUAUCCUAGGAUUGACUGUGACUGCCCAUCACCCCCUGUUUUUUUUCCCCUUGACAACCAGUUCCCAGGCUUCUGUCUCCAAGCUGUUCUUGCAUUCCCACAGCAUCCUCCUCUCCAAGGGCCUGUCACCAGGGCCCGAUUCUCUCUGUUCCCAGAAUGGUGCUGCUUCUGCUCUGUCUCUUCAGAUUAUAUAGGGCCCUGAGUUGAUGUGAUGCUAAUCUGGCUUGCUGUCCUCUCUGGAAAAUGACUCUGGCCCAGUCAUUUCACUGUAGGUCAUUCUAAAGGAGGAGGAGUGGUGCCAGCAUAUCCAUUAGGUUGUUUGUGUUUCUAAGCAUUUCACUCAUCACCAUGGUAUCUGGGUCCAUUUUACUUUAUUUGUAGAAGUAGUAUUUUUUAUCUCUCUCUCCCACACAUUUUAUUAUUAUCUGCAGCAGCAGCAUUAUCAUACUUGUAGGAAAGCAAAGGCAAAAAGAAAGUGUUGAAGAAACCUUUUUUCUGAAGUUGAUGCCAUCAUGGUCAUUCAUGGUUAUUGUUGAAUAUUCUUGGAGUGAACCCAAACCAUAGAGGUGGUGCUCUGUGCUUAAAUCAAUAUUAUUUCUAGAUACUACAAAUGACAAUCCUAGGAAUGAAGAGUACAAGAUCACUGUGACCAGAACAUAAUCAGAAGGUACUAUCUCCUAGUCAGUUGCAAAUAGAAAAGUAGGACUUACUUCUUUAGCAGAAGUAGAUACUUGGCAGCAGAAGUAGAUACUUGGCUUGUGAGAAUUAGUGAGGUGUCUGAAAGUAUUCCCAGGCUGCAAGCACCUUCAAGAAUAGGAGGACAAAUACAUUCUCAUGAAGUAUUCUGAACACUGAGAAUUCUUCAAAAUGCUUUUCUCUUCCCACAAGUAUAACUUAUCUUGCUGUCAUCCUCUAGUUAGACAACCACUGUUUCUGAAAUGUUUUGCAUUGGGGUAUCUUGGUGAUUACAAUAUUUGACACAAUGUGGGUUGGGUGUCAGCCACAUAGCAAUUGCUUUUAAGCUCUGAAUGGUGCAUCAUACUCUUCCCACACUUUCAGGCUGAUGAUCAGUGGAAGAAAAAAAAUAGGCUUGUGGGAAUCCACAGGUGAGGAACCUUAAAAUGAAAGGAGUAAUUGCCCAUCGUAAUUCCCAGAGAUGGUCCAAAUUAAAUACCAGAUACUUCUAAGUGCAUUUCUGUUUUCCAUCCCAAAUGCAGAAGAGUGGUGUUUGGAAUUCAGCUGUUAUCAUAGGAAGAUAUAGACAUAAAAAAAGAUCAUUCAUUUAUAAUAAUUAAAACUCUCUCUUUUGCCUGGUUUUAUCUGACAGUUGUAAACUAAAUCCAGUUAUUCCCCUUUCUUUGUGAUGAUUUUACAUUCAUAUGUUUAAAAUUUUGGGUUUCCCUGUUUAUAAAUAGCAACAGAUGUAAAAAACAGUUCAAAAAAGAGACUGCAGCUCCAUUUUUUAACAUGGGAAGAGAAAUUCAUGUUGAAAAUCAGCAUUUAAAUAAUGGCACAGAUGCAUACAGGCAGGGAAAUAGAUAGCUACAAUAGAAAUGUGCCACAUGUCUCGGAACACAUAACCACAACAGGGUGUCUCUUUUAUGACUUUCUUAAUGCACUGCAAUAUGCCUAGAUAUCGAAGGACAUAUGGUAUAUUUUCUUUUUAAUUGCACAUUUCUUUGCUCUUGUGAGUUACUCGCAACCUUAACUUUAUUUAAUUGUAAUUUUGAUGCAUAAAUCUAGAUCAUCACCAAGAGUUUCAAAUACAAAUAUGUUUCAUCCAGCUUUUCCAUCUCUUUUCCCACUUUUACAAGAGUGUAGUGCCCUUUUUUAAUGUGUAUUUCAGUAUUUCAGUAUCUUUUGGAGAGCGAAUGCAGACGGAGGAGGAUGGGCCCUUUUCUGAAACACUUUUUCCCCAUGUUUCCAACUCAUCUUUCUCAAAAACAAGUACUGGGUAACAAUAUAGGCUCUGAGACUAGAGUCCAGAAAGCAUUAACAUAUGGUUCCUAGAGAAAGCUAUUUAUUUGAAAUGAGGUGCAUAACAGUUGAGCGAUUUUAGCCUCCUCAGGAGUGUGUCAGAAUUCCUCAUUGCACUGGGCUUCAUUUGAUUUAGUUUGGGGGAAAGCUAUAAGAUUUGCAAUGAUCUGGUCUUCCAACAGUUCUGAGAAGAAAAAAAAACUAUCUUCAGUUUCUGCCUGUAUUUUCUGCCAUUUUUAUUAUCUGAGCUUCCAUAAAUUCCCUGGAAUAGAAGAGACAGAUAAAGGAAGGGAUCAGGAAACAUUCCCUUUCACAAGCAGGAAAAUACAGAAUGCUAAUUCAUCAUAAUUUUCAAAUUUAAAUUCAAAACUUAAAUUCAAAUUUUAAAGUUGGUAUUUACCAAGCUGACAAUACAAGACAGAGGAGAGCAAAGAAGUUUAUGGUAACACUGCUUACACCUGCUGACUAAAGAUUGCAGUAUCAAGCUGAGAACGAUUCCUGAGAGUUAGAAGUUUCUCAGACAGAGACUAAUACAUUGGUGACAGCACCUCAUUUUGUGCAUUCACCUCAAACUGGCAAGAAAGAAUCACUUUAUUAAAAGUAAGUAUCAUAGCUCAGAAUCUAGUGCUAGUUGGAUGGCAAGGUGAAUUUCAGGGUUGACUUUUUUCAUCUUGCGAUAGGAAAAAAGAAAAGAGUUUUGGGUUUAUGCCUGUGUUCUGUAAACUUUUUAGAUCAGUAAUCAAUAAGAGAACAGUUACAGCAAAUCUCAAGGGAGUAGCUUCUUUUGAUAGAUGAAAAAGAAAGGUAACAAAAGGAAGAAGUACUAUUUUUGGUUUCGUAUUUCUGUGGGCUUCCCCAACUGGACUUGGUGUUACCUUGUGACAUUGUGGGAUUUCCUACAUGCCCAGAAUCCAUGUUAAUUCUUCUUGAUGCAAAAUGAAGCUAGCAUCUGAAGGUCUGCCAAUUUAAAUGGUUGCACUUAGGAGAUGGUUCAGAUUCAGUUUCUUUAAUUAAUCAGUGAGUUGUUAUCAAAUAUACAAUAUCAGAUUGUUAGAGUAAAUGGUCUCUCAUGGUGUUUUUGCUUCCUAAAAGAAAUCACGCUAAUAGGGUAAAUAUGUCUUGAAUUUAUUCUGUCAGCUUCUUGUCUGGUUCUUUGAAUUUUGCCAUUUAUAUUUUGUAUUGGCCUUUGUAUAGAGUAUUAAUCAGAAUAUUAAUAUUGUAUAGAACCUGAAAUACAAGCUAAUAUGUCCUGAUAUAAAAUGAACUACCCAAAUAGCAUGAAAACGACAAAGAUAUUGGUGGCUCUAGUAUGUUCCAGAGGAGCAGCAGCAAAAACAGGAAAAAUCAUUGUGAAGCUAAAUUUUUACUCUAGUAUCUGCCAUGUUAGUUUGCAAAUAUAAAUAUUGAGAAUAAAGAAACUCACAUCAUGUUCAGUAGUCUGCACUAAUGGGAGUAAGUGCAACAGCAGCAGUGAGAAAAUCUUUUAGUGUCCUGAUUUUAUUCUUCAAAAGGGAGUCUCCAGCUCGUAGGAAUCGAUGCUAUAAAUAAAGAAUAGGAGAACAUCUAGUCUAAACCUCCUUAGAGCUGAAAAAUUUUUAAGAAUUCCUAGAGGUUAUUAUUUUAUUUUAGGACACAGAAGCAAAGUACUAUAGUUCACUGACUGCUUCAUUUUUUUAAUGUCAAAAGCAAAGCAGAAAAGAUAAACAUGAGAGAGUACUGCCAAGCGCUGCUGAGGAAGAAAAGGUAGCAAUGAUCUUGAUGAUAACUUGAGUACUCAUAUCUGUGUAAAGGCAACAAAUUUGCAACCGGAAGGUGUACUGUUCUCCUGGAGAUGUCUCCCAGGACUCACUUCUACGUCAUCACUGCUCUUCUGAAGACUCAUGACCAUGAAGGACAGAGGAAAUGACUGAACAGCUACAAGACACUACUUCUACCUUGUCAUCAUAAUUCUAAACAACUUUUUGAGGAAAUACAGAAAGAGAAUUAUAUGAAAUGCAGUUUUCUUGCAGAGGGCAGGAUCCCAUGACCUAAGGAAGACCUGGAACUCCUGCAGAAAUAAAUCAGUGUGGACAUCAUCAGUGAAUGAUCACUUUAUAAUUAAAUUCAGAAAAAAAACAUGCACUCCAUUCCUUAAAAUAUUGUGAAAGUUGGUCAAAAUGGAUACUUACAAGGCUUUUAUGAGGAACUCAGUUUGUUUGCAUAAUUUGAAGCAUAUCUUUAAGAAGACCUAGCAACUUGAAGGUCUUCAAACCCAUCUAGGAAUUGAGAGAUCAAAACCAGAUGCCAGUGAUUUGGUGGUCUAAAUUCUGAACAGCAGAAGAUAUAAGGACCAAAGAACUUGGAUCUGUAGAAGCAUUUGAAGGAGAAGACAACCAGUGGAGAAGUAUGGAAAUGGGGCAGAGCAAUUUUGUCUAUUCCUUUGUUGCCAAUGCUAUCCUCCUGCCAUUUUAUGCUAUUGAGUACAGUGUGCCUUUCAGGUGCUUUACAAUGUACAAUGCCAUACUACACUAAAUUCUAAUCCAGGAUUUGGCAAGAGACAUAAGGAUACUGCAUACAGCAGCAAGCUGCAUUCUUCCCUGCCAUGAAGCACAUCAGGUGAUACUUCCACUCCCUCUUUCUCCUUACUGUGAGUCUCUAUAUGGUAGUACUGGUCACAAAUUUACAGCAUUGCAGUUUCCCUGAGCUGUCUCUUCCUAAAGCUAAACAACCUCAGCUCUUUCAGUCUCUCCUCAUACAAUAGAUGCUCCAAGCCCUUAGUCAUCUUAGUGGCCCACCACUGGACUCACUCUGAUAUGUUCGUGCCUUUUUUGUACUAGGGAGUCCAGAAAUGGACACAGCACUCCAGAUGUGGUCUCACCAGUGCUGAGCAGAGGGGAGGGAUCACCUCCCUUGACCUGCUGGCGACACUCUUCGUGAUGCAGCCCAGGAUGUUGUUGGCCUUCUUUGCUGCAAGGGCACAUUGCUGGAUCAUGUUCAUCUUGUCCACCAAGAUCGCCAUGUUCUUUUCUGCAAAGAUGCUUUCCAGCCAGUCAGCCUCCAGCAUGGUGUUAUUCUUCCUCAGGUGCAGGACUUUGCACUUCCCAUUGCUCAACUUCAUGAGGUUCCUCUCUGCCCAUUUCUCCAACCAGCCAAGGUCCCUCUGAAUGGCAAGACAGCUCUCUGGUGUAUCAGCCACGCCUCCCAGUUUUGUAACAUCUUCAAUUUGCUAAGGGUGCAAUCAUGUAGGUCAUUGACGAAGAUGUUAAACACUGUUGGCCCUAGUAUUGACCCCCUGGGAUACUUCUCUAGUCACUGGUCUCCAACUGGACUCUGUGCUGAUCACACCUCUCUGAGCCUAACAGAUCAGCCAGUUUUCAUCCUCUUCACUCUCCACUUACCUAGUCCGUACUUCAUCAGUUUGUUUAUAAAGAUAUCAUGGGAAAGUGUUUUAAGCCAUACUAAAGUUGAAAUAAACAGUAUCACUGCUCUCCCCUCAUCCACCAGGCUGGUCAUCUCAUCAUAGAAAGAUAUCAGGUUGGUUAAGCACAACCUUCUUGUCCUUCGUGUGUUUGCAAAUGGUUUCCAGCAUGAUUUCCUCCAUCACCUUCCCAGGGAUUGAGGUGAGGUUGACCAGCCUGUAGUUCUGUGGACCCUCCUUCUUGCCUGUCUUGAAGAUAGGAGUGACAUUUGCUUUCUUCCAGUCCUCAGGAACCUCCCCUGAUCGCCACAACCUUUCAAAUAUAAUUGAGAGGUGCUUUGCAAUGAUAUCGGCCAGCUCCCUCAGCACUCAUGGGUGUAUCCCAUCAGGUCCCAUGGACUUUUAUAUGUCCAGUUUGUUUAAAUGUUACUGAACUUGAUCCUCCUUCACUGAGGGUAAGUGCUUCCUUGUGCCAGACUUUCACACGUCUCAGGGACUUGGGACUGCUGAAGGCAAAUCUUACCUGUAAAGACCGAGGCAAAGAAGGCAUUGAGUACCUCAGCCUUUUCUGUAUCCUUUGUCACCAGGUCUCCUGCCCCAUUCAGCAGCAAGCCCACAUUUUCCCCAGUGUUCCUUUUGCUGAUGAUAUAUCUGUAAAUGGCCUUGUUGCCCUUCAUGUCCCUUGCCAGAUUCAGCUCCAUGUGGGCUUUGGCUUUCCUAGCCUCAUCCCUAUGUGCUUGGACAGUACCUCUAUAUUCCUCCCAGGCCACUUGUCCCUGCUUUCACCUCUUAUAUGCUUUCUUUUUAUGUUGAAUUUAGUCAGGAGCUCCCUGUUCAUCCGUGCAGGCCUCCUGCUGCUUGUGCUUGUUUUCCUGCUCAAUGGGAUGGACCAUUCUUGAACUUGAAGGAGAUCAUCCUUGAAAAUAAGCCCACUCUCCUGGACUCCUCUUCUUUCCAGGGCUAUAUCCCAUGGGAUUCUUCCAAGUAGGUUCCCCCAAGUAGGUUGUGAUCCUGGUUUUUUGUUGUUCCUUUCUGUCAGGAUCCAGAACUCCUCCAUUUCAUGGCCACUGCAGCCAAGGCUGUCCCAAACCUACCCAUCUCUGACCAGUUCUUCCGUUUUGGAAAGUGUGAGGUCCAACAGAGCAUCUCUCUUCAUCCACUCCUCAAUCAUCUGUGUUAGGAAGUUGUCAUCAGUGCACUCCAGGAACCUCCUGGAUUGCUUGUGCCCUGCUGUGUUGUCCUUCCAGCAGAUAUCAGGGUGGUUGAAGUCCCCAUGAGGACCCGGGCCUGUGGCCAUGAGGCUUCUUCAAGUUGUCUGAAGAAGGCAUCAUCUACUUCUUCUUCCUGAUCAGGGGGUCUGUGCCAGACACGCACCACUGCACCACCCAUGUUUAUCUGCCCACUAAUCCUGACCCAUAAACUCAGCUGGCUCAUUGUCCAGCUCAAGGCAGAGCUCCAUGCAUUCCUGCUGCUCUCUCACAUAGAGGGUGUUUGGUUUUGUUCUCCAUCUGCUUGCUUUGUUUGUAUUCUCUAUAUAUUGCUUUUUAAAUCUUGGAAGAACAAUAACAUAGACAUUUUCACAUUGUGUUCUUUAAUUUGCUAUACAUAGUAUAUCUCAAAAUCGCUGUAUAUUUUAUCAGGAGAAGGUCUUCAAGAUUAUUUGUUUUGAUAAAUGAAAAGUAAUAAAUUGUACAAUGAAAUACAAAGCAGGGAAUAGAGUUAUAUUUGACCAAAAAUAGAUUAGAGAGAUAGUCUUGUCAGUGUUAAUAACCAGUGGUGCCAUUUCUCUUAUAUAGCACUUCAGUGACAAGAAAGCACAGCAAAGAAACAAUAUACUUCUGUAAAUAUGCUUUGUGAGUGUUAUUGGCUUGAAACCAAUUUGGAAAAAUACAGUCUUAAUAAAAUCGUGUUUUUCUUUUCAAAUAUUUUUAAGGAUAAAAUUACUAUGAUUGGACAUCCACUUGCAGAGUGGGAUCUGUAACAUUUCUUACGCACACUAUGCAUACAUUUCACUAUUAACCUUGGAAUGAGAGAUAUUCAUGUUUUAUGUUUAUGUUUAAAAAGGAACCAAAAUAAAUUUAUGUUGAAGACACAUACCACAUCAUUGUUUGUACUGUGGUGUUCAUUCUCCCAGAAGUGGGAGACUUGUUUUGCCCCAUUUUGGUAUUUGCUACUUACGUGGUGAUUUAGUCACCAGGACUGCUUAAGGGCACAUGAUUCGUUGAAAGUCAAAACUCCUUUCCUGCAAAAGUUUCUACCUUGUUUAUAUCUUGCUAUUCUGUAUAGUCACACUGCCAGGAGAAGCAGAAUUAGUAACUGAGUACAUACGAGUUUUCAAAAGCCAAGAUAAUCACUAGAGAAAAUAAUUAAGUUAUUUUGAAAUGGUAUCUUUCUCUGGUCCAAAUUUCUUACAUGGACUGUGCAAGUAUGACUAACAGUUGCUUGAAAUGUGUCUCUAACCUGUGUUACUGUAAACAUACAUACAUAUAUUUAUAUUGACAUGUGUUUCUUUUCAGUCAGGAGAAGCCCUUUAAAACACAGCAUGGGAACUCCUGGCCUUUCUCCUCCCGGCAGCCCUCUGAGCAAUACUAGCAGACCUAUUGCAAACCUCACAGCACUGGAUCUUACAGCCCUGCAAAGGCCUGCCCUGGUGGACCUGGUUGAGGGGCCCCCUCCUGCACACCAGAAGCUGUGCUGAGAAAUGGCUCUCGACCCCCAGCAUCGGUGCAUGCUGGCAAGGCAAAGGGGGAGAGCUGCAGGACCAGCCCCCUAAGCCCCGCUGCGCUUGCUGGAGCGGUUGGGCAAGGGGGAGGCUGCAACAGCUGCAGCAAUGAUCAUGCGGCAGGCUGUGCUCACAGGGAGAAGUCUGACCUGUAGAGGUGAUGGCUGCUGGAACGCCAUCCUUCCCAAGGUACACCACUAAGGAAAGUAGGUGUGUGGGCCAGGUAGGUGUAUAUAACAAUGAGAAAAUGUUCCCCUGGCAUGUGGGGUGACCUCCUGCCUGCCUGGGAGGACCUGCCGGCAUGCUCACAGGACUUGGCGUACCAAACGAUGGGGGAAAAGUUAGCCUCCAAGGAAAGAAGGGAGCAUGCAUAUAGACCUUAAUUACAGUCUCUGCAGCUUAUGUUUGCAUCAAGGUGGAAAACUGCAAGCUAGAAACUACAGUUCUUGGUCUUCCCUUGUCUUAAAAUGAGGGCAACUAGGGAUGCAUACUAGAAAUGCAUAAACUGCCUUUGAAUUACCCCAAAAGAGGCAUUGACUGUUAUCAAGCAACAUAUGAAGAUAGAAGAAUGUAAGUGUGCGGAUAUAUUUAUUUUGCUUUAAGGGCAAAGAGCUGCAGUAUUAUCUCCUAUCUUUUGCUUUUAUUCUGUAUGAAAUUUUAAAACAUGUCUUUAGUCUAAAAAGAUAUUCUAGAAAGUUAUUACAGUAUUAUUCCACAGUUCUUUAUUAGCCAUAACUUGCUAUACAUUCUUUUGUAAGAAAAAUAUAGUAAUUUAUCUUACUGUUAAAUCAGUCUGAAAGUCAAGCUGAGUUCACUCUGGAUAUCAGUAAUAACAACUCUAAACUAAAAGCCUAAUUAGUAGCUUUGCUGAUAGGAAUGGUGGGCCGUAAUAAUAUCUAUGCCUCUGAUGUAUUGAGGAAAAGGGUGUCUUUUGUUCAGUAACAUGAUCUGAACAUUUUUGAUAAAGACUAUUAGUCUUCUGAUAAUGAUAAAACAUUAUUUUGCACAACUCUAAAUAUAUUUGCAGUUUAGCUAUUAAUAUGUAUAUACUGUUGCAGGAGGAAGGUACUUUGUUGCUCAAGUAUAUUCAUUAUGCAUUUUUCUGAA